UCCUACGGGGGGCAGCAGUAGGGAAUUUUCGUCAAUGGGCGCAAGCCUGAACGAGCAAUGCCGCGUGAACGAGGAAGGUCUUCGGAUCGUAAAGUUCUGUUGAAGGGGAAAAAGAGCGGAGAGAGGAAAUGGUCUCCGAUUGAUAUUACCCUUCGAGGAAGUCACGGCUAACUACGUGCCAGCAGCCGCGGUAAUACGUAGGUGGCGAGCGUUAUCCGGAAUGAUUGGGCGUAAAGGGUGCGUAGGCGGCCUGCUAAGUCUGGAGUGAAAGGUACCGGCUCAACCGGUGAAGGCUCUGGAAACUG
rnacentral:rRNA from 1 species